UUUGAACUUAGUGGCGGACGGGUGAGUAACGCGUGAGCAACCUGCCUUUCAGAGGGGGAUAACAUUUGGAAACAGAUGCUAAUACCGCAUAAGAUUACAGUACCGCAUGAUACAGUGAUCAAAGGAGCAAUCCGCUGAAAGAUGGGCUCGCGUCCGAUUAGAUAGUUGGUGAGGUAACGGCUCACCAAGUCGACGAUCGGUAGCCGGACUGAGAGGUUGAACGGCCACAUUGGGACUGAGACACGGCCCAGACUCCUACGGGAGGCAGCAGUGGGGAAUAUUGCACAAUGGGCGAAAGCCUGAUGCAGCAACGCCGCGUGAGGGAAGACGGUUUUCGGAUUGUAAACCUCUGUUUUCGGUGACGAACAAAUGACGGUAACCGAGUAGGAAGCCACGGCUAACUACGUGCCAGCAGCCGCGGUAAUACGUAGGUGGCAAGCGUUAUCCGGAAUUACUGGGUAUAAAGGGAGCGCAGGCGGGAUAGCAAGUCAGCUGUGAAAACUAUGGGCUCAACCCAUAAACUGCAGUUGAAACUGUUAUUCUUGAGCGGAGUAGAGGCAAGCGGAAUUCCGAGUGUAGCGGUGAAAUGCGUAGAUAUUCGGAGGAACACCAGUGGCGAAGGCGGCUUGCUGGGCUCUAACUGACGCUGAGGCUCGAAAGUGUGGGGAGCAAACAGGAUUAGAUACCCUGGUAGUCCACACUGUAAACGAUGAUUGCUAGGUGUGGGGGGUCUGACCCCCU
rnacentral:rRNA from 1 species